AAUAUAAAGGUUUGUCAUCACAAUUUGACGCAGUAUUCGAAAAAUACAUUGAGCUAAGUUUCUGAAGUGAAAUUGAAUCCGAAUUUAAGAGUAGGUAUCGCUAGUAUAAUUAAGGUAAUUCACGUAGGUAUUGUAACCUUGUUUUAUAUGUGGUAUCAGUACAACGGAGCGAGGGAUAUAUGCAUGGCCUAUAUAAUAUGCAUUCCCGGUACUAUCAUCUGUAUAAAUGUAAAUAUCGACCGAAGCCAACAAAUCAUUAAUAUGCAGUUAUAGUGUUGACACAGCCUUGCGAGACACCAGCAUUGAUGUCCAUGCUGUCGGAGCUGACGGUUGUUGCUCCGACUACGAUUUUAAUGCAUCUGCCGGACAGAAAACAGGGUGUUCGAGGGUGGUCUUCCAGUUGGACGGAAAUCAUCCUGUGGAGUAUGAUAGUGCAAAAGAUAUCAAUAAUAUGAAUCCGAAUCCGAGUGACCGAGUAAAAGAAUUCGAGUGAAUUAAUAGAAAGUUCUCGUUAUCUAAGCAAAAAUGAACUGAAGCAAUCACAUUUAGUGCGAAGAGAUUUCCUUUUACCAAGCUACGCGCGUUGGCGGAGUAUGAAUGAAAGAUGGACGAAGUUGAAGUCGGGUAAGUCGCUUCAUUGUGAUUAAUUCACAAGGAAUUCAUAAAGGGUUAACUAAGAUAAUUUUCAGGGAAAAUGCGUGGAGGUCAAUCUGAACGGGGUAUAUUAUGCUAGCAAUUGGGCUGCUAGUCCUCAUUACUAAAUAUCUUCUGCCUCCUGCAAGUACAGAAUAGGUAUCUAACCACUAUAUGUAUAAUAAUUACCAAUUAAACUUUUCCUUUGUAUUUUAAAAUAAAGAACUUGGAUGGUUUUAAUAUUCUGAUUUAUAACACUUGCCUAUUAAAUCCUUGCAAUGAUUAGGCUGGUGAUACAAGUAUAACAGGGGAAAAAUCUACUAAAUCAUUACUAUUACGCUUGGAACAAAGUAUUCUCAAUGUUAGUACUAUAACAUAUUCCAAUAGGUAAUAAAUAUAUUUAUAUAUUUUUUACUGUAAUAAUUUUGCUUCCAAAUAGUAUAAUGUGUAAUAAUAAUUUUUUGCAUAAUUAUACAUUAAUCAGCUACCUACUACGUAAAAGAUAUUUAUAAAUAAAGCACAUAAAUAAUGGUAAUGAAAUGGUGUUAUGUAAUAUCUGUUAUAAUUCAUACACGUACGAAUAUUAAUGUUCGGUCUCAUAAAAUGAGUAAGUAAUGUAUCUUAUUCAAAGAAAAGAGAUAAUUCAAUAAAAUAUUUUUCUUAUACGAAUAUAUGUUUGUUAAACUAUGUACAUAAGCUCUGUCUGUUAAAUAUAGAAAUAUGCGAAAUGAAA